GGUUAAGCGACUAAGCGUACACGGUGGAUGCCCUGGCAGUCAGAGGCGAUGAAGGGCGUGCUAAUCUGCGAUAAGCGCCGGUAAGGUGAUAUGAACCGUUAUAACCGGCGAUACCCGAAUGGGGAAACCCAGUGUGAUUCGUCACACUAUCAUUAACUGAAUCCAUAGGUUAAUGAGGCGAACCGGGGGAACUGAAACAUCUAAGUACCCCGAGGAAAAGAAAUCAACCGAGAUUCCCCCAGUAGCGGCGAGCGAACGGGGAGGAGCCCAGAGCCUGAAUCAGCAUGUGUGUUAGUGGAAGCGUCUGGAAAGGCGCGCGAUACAGGGUGACAGCCCCGUACACAAAAGCGCAUGUGCUGUGAGCUCGAUGAGUAGGGCGGGACACGUGGUAUCCUGUCUGAAUAUGGGGGGACCAUCCUCCAAGGCUAAAUACUCCUGACUGACCGAUAGUGAACCAGUACCGUGAGGGAAAGGCGAAAAGAACCCCGGCGAGGGGAGUGAAAAAGAACCUGAAACCGUGUACGUACAAGCAGUGGGAGCACAGGUUUACCUGUGUGACUGCGUACCUUUUGUAUAAUGGGUCAGCGACUUAUAUUCUGUAGCAAGGUUAACCGAAUAGGGGAGCCGUAGGGAAACCGAGUCUUAAUUGGGCGUUAAGUUGCAGGGUAUAGACCCGAAACCCGGUGAUCUAGCCAUGGGCAGGUUGAAGGUUGGGUAACACUAACUGGAGGACCGAACCGACUAAUGUUGAAAAAUUAGCGGAUGACCUGUGGCUGGGGGUGAAAGGCCAAUCAAACCGGGAGAUAGCUGGUUCUCCCCGAAAGCUAUUUAGGUAGCGCCUCGUGAAUUCAUCUCCGGGGGUAGAGCACUGUUUCGGCUAGGGGGCCAUCCCGGCUUACCAACCCGAUGCAAACUGCGAAUACCGGAGAAUGUUAUCACGGGAGACACACGGCGGGUGCUAACGUCCGUCGUGAAGAGGGAAACAACCCAGACCGCCAGCUAAGGUCCCAAAGUCAUGGUUAAGUGGGAAACGAUGUGGGAAGGCCCAGACAGCCAGGAUGUUGGCUUAGAAGCAGCCAUCAUUUAAAGAAAGCGUAAUAGCUCACUGGUCGAGUCGGCCUGCGCGGAAGAUGUAACGGGGCUAAACCAUGCACCGAAGCUGCGGCAGCGACACUGUGUGUUGUUGGGUAGGGGAGCGUUCUGUAAGCCUGCGAAGGUGUCCCGUGAGGGAUGCUGGAGGUAUCAGAAGUGCGAAUGCUGACAUAAGUAACGAUAAAGCGGGUGAAAAGCCCGCUCGCCGGAAGACCAAGGGUUCCUGUCCAACGUUAAUCGGGGCAGGGUGAGUCGACCCCUAAGGCGAGGCCGAAAGGCGUAGUCGAUGGGAAACGGGUUAAUAUUCCCGUACUUGGUGUUACUGCGAAGGGGGGACGGAGAAGGCUAUGUUGGCCGGGCGACGGUUGUCCCGGUUUAAGCGUGUAGGUGUGUGUUCCAGGUAAAUCCGGUUCACUUUAACACUGAGGCGUGACGACGAGGCACUACGGUGCUGAAGCAACAAAUGCCCUGCUUCCAGGAAAAGCCUCUAAGCAUCAGGUAACAUCAAAUCGUACCCCAAACCGACACAGGUGGUCAGGUAGAGAAUACCAAGGCGCUUGA
rnacentral:rRNA from 1 species